CCUACGGGAGGCAGCAUGGGGAAUAUUGGACAAUGGGCGAAAGCCUGAUCCAGCAUGCCGCGUGUGUGAAGAAGGUCUUCGGAUUGUAAAGCACUUUAAGUGGGAGGAAGGGUACUUACCUAAUACGUGAGUAUUUUGACGUUACCGACAGAAUAAGCACCGGCUAACUCUGUGCCAGCAGCCGCGGUAAU
rnacentral:rRNA from 1 species